UGGUGAAUUGUGAUAGAUUAUUACCUCCGCCUGAAUUAUCACCUCCCCCUAUUGAAAACUCAAAACGAGGUUGCGCUUUCUAGUUAUAGCUGUUAGAUGUGUUCCUAAAACGUCCGGAUUACCUUACAUAACAUAACGUAAACAUAAACAACGAAAAUGACGCUUCGAGGACAAGAAUUCGAGAAAUAAAGUUUACUUGGUCUUUUGUGAUGUUCCAAUUCCAUUUUUUUGAAAGUGACUCAUCAUGUUAUAGUGUGAUGUUUUCUGAAUGACUUUAUGUGAUAGUGUGAACGUUUUCUGACUGGCAGAAGGAUAUUCAGUUUUCUUUUUGCCCCACCUUGUCAGUCUUGUGCUAAAAAGAUUGAUUUCAAAUUGGUUUCUCAAAUAUAUGAGCAGACGAUUUAGAAAGAAGAAUCUCAAGUGUUUUAAUAAAUUUGAUUUUCAUUCAAAGUCAAUCUCAUAAUCAAAUGGAGAAUAAGAUAAUCAAAAUGCCAAGAUAAAAGAUUAAUGCUGUUAUAUAGAAAGAAAAUGUAAUUAUUUGAACCACACAAAAAAUUUUCCAAAGUUCAAAAGGAUCAAAAAUUUCGAAAUAUAAACAUUAUAUAAGCAGUACAGGAAAAAUGCAUCCAUAAAGAAGAUCAAACACUUGAAUCUAUUGCUUAAUGUACUGUUACUUGCGUAACCAUCUGCUGCUAGAGUGUGGAAACUGGAUGAACCUACUUUUAAAUUAUUUUUGCUUACCAAACAAAUCUUUUAUUAUUAUAUUUUUUUAAUGUUCUCAUUUUCUUUAAUUUAGUCUAAUUUCUUACUCUCUAAUUUUUUUUUAAUUUUUAUUAUGAAAGCAGUUUUAUACAUUUUAUCUAAAUAAUUUAUAGAUUCAAAAUGUAUAUCUUUAACUUCAAGGUUCUAUAGUAUUUUUUAAGUAGAUGACUAUGUUUUAAGUAGAUGCUGAAGUAUAUAGUCAAUACAUAAGCAUUUACCUAAGUAUAUUUAUAUAUUAUGUAUAUUAUGUAUAUUUAUAUUUUGUGUGUAUUUUUAAAGUUAUAAAAAUUUCAAACUAUGUCUUGUGAAUACAAAUAUUUCAAACCAUAUACUUUGUUAUAAUAAUUAAUGAUCAAUUUCUUUAGAAUAUGAAUUUUAUAUCACCCAGCAAAGCUGAAAUGAAAAAAGAUUAGUUUAACGAGAGAAAAAAAAAAUAUUCUUUAAAAAUUAUAAAAAAAAGAUGAAGGAAAAAAUGUUUAAAAGAAAAUCUUAAAAACAAGCAUUGACGGAUCUAAGGAGUGAUCACCUGUGAAAUUAAUAAAACCAAAUAUCAAUCU